rnacentral:rRNA from 1 species
AUGAUGCUUCGUGAUGUAAAGAUGUUCUGUUUAAGUGAGAGCCGUGAAGGGCCUAAUCUGUACAAUCUUAAGUUUCAGAAAUAUGGUAGUAGUCCAUAUAGAGUACAAGAGCUGACCAAUGUUGUGAGGAGUGGAAGGUGUAUGGAGUUUCAAUUAGAUUGGGUGGCCACCGGCGUCCAUGAGACUCCAGAGCGACAUGGCAGACUUGUUAGUGAAAGGGUGUUCCUUUAUCACGUGCCCAACAAUCUUUGCACUGAUUCUUGCAAGGGGUCCUCGAGGAAGCAAAUGGUCGGCUUUUUCCUGAAGGGAUUGAGAUUACCAAGAUUCGGAUCAGACCCUUGCUUUGUCAGUGCAGGAGAACUGCUCAAGCACAUAGGCAUGGCGUGCCUGACGUGGAUUACACCCGAACUGCCCUCCUUUGACAUAAAAGUUGAUGCAUCUGAAGUUUUCAAUCUCACCGACUUCACUGGAGUGUCGUGCGCCCAUGCUCCAGUAGAGGAACUGGAUGGAGCAAGGUCCACAUGCCUUGAAUUUCUUAAAGAUCUCCUGCACUCGCUUAAUUUUCCCAGUGGAGUAAGCAAAAGCUGGGUCCAGAACUACUGCAUGCCUAACGCAAAACUUCUUUUAUGCACAACCCCAGUGCGGGAGUGUGAAUUGAUGAUCCCACUACAUUGGUUAACUGAGUGCAAUGGUUGGCCCAUCCAUUCUGCGCAGCUCUACUUUGGCUGCUCCAUCCGGCCGAAGGCCUAA